rnacentral:rRNA from 1 species
UACGUAGGGGGCUAGCGUUGUCCGGAAUUAUUGGGCGUAAAGAGCUCGUAGGCGGUCUGUCGCGUCGGAUGUGAAAGCCCGGGGCUUAACUCCGGGUCUGCAUUCGAUACGGGCAGACUAGAGUGUGGUAGGGGAGAUCGGAAUUCCUGGUGUAGCGGUGAAAUGCGCAGAUAUCAGGAGGAACACCGGUGGCGAAGGCGGAUCUCUGGGCCAUUACUGACGCUGAGGAGCGAAAGCGUGGGGAGCGAACAGG